UACAGAGGUCCCAAGCGUUGUUCGGAUUCACUGGGCGUAAAGGGUGCGUAGGCGGUCGGGUAAGUCUGAUGUGAAAUCUCACAGCUUAACUGUGAAACUGCAUUGGAUACUAUCCGGCUCGAGGAAUGGAGGGGAGACUGGAAUUCCUGGUGUAGCGGUGGAAUGCGCAGAUAUCAGGAGGAACACCGGUGGCGAAGGCGGGUCUCUGGGCAGUAACUGACGCUGAGGAGCGAAAGCGUGGGGAGCGAACAGG
rnacentral:rRNA from 1 species